rnacentral:rRNA from 1 species
AGCGAACGUUAGCGGCGCGCCUAACACAUGCAAGUCGCACGAGAAACGGAGCAAUCCGCGGUACAGUGGCGCACGGGUGAGUAACACGUGGAUGACCUUCCCUGGAGUGGUGGAUAACCUGCCGAAAGGCGGGCUAAUACAGCAUGGGACCACGACGCUUUGGCGAUGUGGUGAAAGCGGGCCUCUAUAUAUAAGCUCGCGCUCCGGGACGGGUCCGCGUCCCAUCAGCUAGUUGGUGAGGUAACGGCUCACCAAGGCAACGACGGGUAGCUGGUCUGAGAGGAUGGCCAGCCACACUGGAACUGAGACACGGUCCAGACUCCUACGGGAGGCAGCAGGUGGGGAAUCUUGCGCAAGUGGGACGAAAGCCUGACGCAGCGACGCCGCGUGGGCGAAGAAGG